CCCCGCCUGGGGAGUACGGCCGCAAGGCUAAAACUCAAAGGAAUUGACGGGGACCCGCACAAGCGGCGGAGCAUGCGGAUUAAUUCGAUGCAACGCGAAGAACCUUACCAAGGCUUGACAUACACCAGAACACCGUAGAAAUACGGGACUCUUUGGACACUGGUGAACAGGUGGUGCAUGGUUGUCGUCAGCUCGUGUCGUGAGAUGUUGGGUUAAGUCCCGCAACGAGCGCAACCCUCGUUCUUGUUGCCAGCACGUUAUGGUGGGAACUCAUGGGAUACUGCCGGGGUCAACUCGGAGGAAGGUGGGGAUGACGUCAAAUCAUCAUGCCCCUAUGUCUUGGGCUUCACGCAUGUACAAUGGCCGGUACAAAGGGCUGCAAUACCGGAGGUGGAGCGAAUCCCAAAAAGCCGUCCGUUCGAUUGAGGUCUGCAACUCGCCUCAGAAGUGGAGUCGCUAGUAUCGCAGAUCACAUCGCCGAUCACAAA
rnacentral:rRNA from 1 species